CAACACUGACUUUCCUUCAUUGAGAAGUCUAAACACAAACUACAGAAACAUGUUACUCAUCUCUUCUGUUUUAAUUUUUAUCCUCAGUUACUGUAAGUACUGCUAGUCAUAUACAUUUACACCUUAUUUAUAUACAGUAUAAAUCAAAAACAUGCCCAUUUUUAAAUUCAUUCUAAACAUAAUCCAUUACAUUGCUUGAUUAUUUAUCAUAUUUGAAGGUGAAUCUAAUGGAAAUGUCAUCAGACCAAACCAGCCGUCUGUAGUUUUAACUGAAGGAAGCAGCACCACUCUGUCCUGUUCAUAUGAUCGAUCAGCUUACAGUCUUCACUGGUAUCGACAGAAGCCUGGAUCAAAACCAGAGUUUCUGCAGCUGAUUGUUGAGUCUUCCAAGUAUGUCAACAAAGCUGACCAACCUCAUCCACAUAUGUCCAUCAGACUCCAUGAUAAUAAAAGUGUGGAUCUGGAGAUCUCCUCUGCUGGUGUAUCAGACUCUGCAGUGUAUUACUGUGCUCUGGAGCCCACAGUGACAGGAAACCCCUCUACACUGUACAAAAACCUUCUUGUUAUCUGCCUGAUGAACAAUCAUAUUUCUCUACCAUGAUCUCUGUGAUAUUCCAUUUUGCUGAUGAUCUGAAUAUGGCAUUUAA
ensembl:lncRNA